UCCAGUGUUGCCAACUCAAAAUUUACAAAUCCGCUAGGAUGGCAUGAAAAAUCCGCCAGAUUAUAGGUGAAACCAUAAAAAUUUGCCGCUAGAUUGGAGUUAAAAAUCCGCCAGUUACUCCUGUCAAUUUUAAGAUUUUUCCCGCUAGAUUUCAAACAAAACCUCUAGAUUUAGCGGGAAAACCGCUAAUUUGGCAACACUGCAUGGGUCUGAUGUGGGACCCAUAUGGGCAAUGUGGGCCACCUUGGAUCAGCUGUCAGGAGUGUUCUAAAACGUAUUUUGUGAAUUUUCUCUAAUUUUAAGGGCCAUUAUAGUUUAGAAGCCUGAAAAGUUAAAAUAAAACUUCAUUAUUAAUCUGCAUAGCACAUUAUUUUGUUGCAAAGCUGUUUAGCCCGGCCAGGGAAAAGGCGCAAACAUAAAGAGUGAGGAGAUGACAGAGACGACGAUUGUGGUGUUCCGGGUGUAGAGAGUAGUGUGUAGUUUGUGUAUUGUUCGUUUGUUUUGUCUUUUACGGGAGCUGCCGUUUCAAAGGCCUGACUCAAGAGGAAUCUUGAGUCACCUGUAACAUCAAGAUCAAGAUCAAGAAUACUCAAAAUGGAGCGGACAGAGAAGAAAGGCGGAUUUGAUUCACUUGAUUUAGCGACGAUUUUGCGACUCUUCUGACCCAAGUUUUUGCUGAGUUACCGUUCCAAAGGCCUGACUCAAGGAGAAGCUGUUGAGUCUUCUGUAAAAUCAAGAUCAAGCGGUUUUUGGAGGGAAAAACACCAGAACCAGAACCAAGGAAACUCCUCCACUCACUGGCCUCACUCCACAUCCACAGUAUCUGACCUCCUGAGUGGUAACCAAGACCCUGGCCUGGCCUUCAAGAUCCUAAAACUCACCAGAACCUUUCUCAUCUAAUACUAACAGUAUGAUGUGUGUGGAUGUGUUUCGUGUGGUGUAGUACAUUAUGGUUCAGCCAUGGCGGACCGUGCAGUUUCAGAUCAGCCAAGGCGGUCUUCAUCUAGUUCAGAGAGAUAACGGCCCUGCGGGGAUGAUGAGAGGCCUGGACAUAUGAGAAAGAAGUGAGCCACGUCCUCUAGCCUUCCGAGCUCACUGCAUGACCUGCCAGCUGGUGCUCUUCCUUGCCAAGGCGGGAAGGUAAACAAUGAGCCGGGCUCGUCCACGGGCGGUGACUUUGGCCGGCUUACGGUUUUGUUGAGUGAUCUGGUCAACAAACUUGACAGUGGGGCCCAGCAGGUUAGUGCUCCACCUUUCGGUUCUUCUGACUUUAGUGGUUUUCAUGAGCUGUCCGACUCAGAAGUGGAUUGUGCGUCGCCUGUGAGCGGGCGGGAUCAGCUGAUCUCCCCAGACCCUGCACUAGGGAUGGGCAAGUACCGUUAAUUUGAGUACCGGUAGUACCGAUACCGAAAACUUUGGUACCGUUAGUACCGGUACCGGUACCCGAAGGAGUAUUUUUUUUUUAUUUGACUGAUGAAAUUCCCAAAUAAAUUUCCUGUAAAGAAAACUCUCUCUCUCUCUCUCUCUCUCUCUCUCUCUCUCUCUCUCUCUCUGAAUGAAGUGAAUAUUUAUUUUUUCGAUAAAAAAAUAGCAUGUAUAGUUAUUAUGGAUAUACUCGAUCAUAGUCUAAUAACAAUAACAAUAUUUAUUAGCAACCUAAAAAAGAAAAAGAAUCGGACAUGAAGAAUUAUCCAGUAACUCCAGUAAAUAAAUAAAAUAAUGGAAACGGGAGCUGUGAUGGAAACGGAAAGCAGGACAAAAUGGUGGGAACUUGGGGGGACAACUCAGCGUCUCCAUACAGGGCCCUUACCGCGUGAUACCACAUGAGGCGGGCAGGCGAGCGCCGAGCGUCACUAAGAUCCAGACGGUACCGGUACUAGCGGCAAUGCGCAGUGCCGAGUGAUCAUGACGCUUCCCGGCACCCAAGUGAUCAUGAGGCUUCGCGGUACCUGGUACCUGGUACCGCGAGGAAUCGAUUCCUCGCGGUACCUGGUAUCCCCCCCCCACCACCACCACCAACAACAACAACACUACCACCGCCACCAUCACCACCACCACCAUGACCAUCACCACCAUUAUCAUGCACCACCACCACCACCAUCAUCACCACCACCACCACCAUCAUCACAACCACCACCACCUCCUUCACCACCACCACCACCAGCAUCACCACCAACACCACCACCACCAACACCAACAACAACACCAUCACCACCACCAUCACCACCACCAUUAUCAUGCACCACUACCACCACCAUCAUCACCACCACCACCACCAUCAUCAUCAUCCCCACCACCAUCAUCAUCCCCACCACUAUCAUCAUCCCCACCACCACCACCAACAACAACAUCAUCAUUACCAUAACCACCACCACCACCAUCAUCACCACCACCACCACCAUCAUACACCACCACCACCAUACACCACCACCACCAUCAUCAUACACCACCACCACCACCAUCAUCAUACACCACCACCAUCACCACCAUCAUCAUACACCACCACCAUCAUCAUCACCACCACCACCAUCAUCAUCACCACCACCAGCAACAACAACAACAACAACACUACUACCACCACCACCACCACCACCACCACCAC